CCCCUAGACGUUCUGGGCUGCACGCGCGCUACAAUAAUACGCACAGCGAGUAUCACCGAGCUCGAAAGGGCAAGGUAAACAAUAGAAAAGGUACUGUAAUGGUUAUAGAUCCUUGUAAUUAUUGAUCUUCAACGAGGAAUUCCUAGUAAGUAUGUGUCAUCAUCACGCACUGAUUACGUCCCUGCCCUUUGUACACACCGCCCGUCGCCCCUACCGAUUGAGUGAGCCGAUGAAACUGCCGGAUGUGGACUAUUCAUAGUCUGCAGAAGAUAUUUGAAUCGUAGCGCUUAGAGGAAGGAGAAGUCGUAACA
rnacentral:rRNA from 1 species